rnacentral:rRNA from 1 species
GCUGGCGGCAGGCCUAACACAUGCAAGUCGAGCGCCCCUCCUUCAAGCGAGCUUGGAGGAUUGCGCGGCGGUGUCUUCGAACGGGCGUAAGCUCGUUUCGAGGGAAACCGUUUCGAAAUCAAGCGGACCGAAGGGCCCGCUUGAUGGAGGGGAGCGGCAGACGGGAGAGUAACACGUGGGAACGUACCCUUUGGUUCGGAACAACCCAGGGAAACUUGGGCUAAUACCGGAUAAGCCCUUACGGGGAAAGAUUCAUCGCCGAAGGAUCGGCCCGCGUCUGAUUAGCUAGUUGGUGGGGUAAUGGCCCACCAAGGCGACGAUCAGUAGCUGGUCUGAGAGGAUGAUCAGCCUCACUGGGACUGAGACACGGCCCAGACUCCUACGGGAGGCAGCAGUGGGGAAUAUUGGACAAUGGGCGCAAGCCUGAUCCAGCCAUGCCGCGUGGGUGAUGAAGGCCCUAGGGUUGUAAAGCCCUUUCGGCGGGGAAGAUAAUGACGGUACCCGCAGAAGAAGCCCCGGCUAACUUCGUGCCAG